rnacentral:misc_RNA from 1 species
GAGAGAGAGAGUUGAGAAAAAAUUACGUAGUUGCCUAGAAGGAAAUGAAAAUGUGCUAAAAUGAAUGAGAAAAGAUAAUUUUUUGCCCAAAAAAAGGUUACCUCUAAUGCAUUUCACAUGAAAGAAGUGGGAAAAAAAAGUCAAGAAUUCUAAGCUAGAAAAGUAACGGCUGUUAAGUAAUGGUCGGUAACGGCUGUUACCAUAAAGGCUGUUACUGCCUUUGCAAUUAUGAAUUUAAAAACCUAUUAAACAAUGGUGGUAAUGGUAAUAGUAGCCAAAAAAACCUUUAAAUAAUGGCCGUAAUGUAAUGUGUCUGUUAUUUAAAACCAUUGCCCAUAAACAUUGACUUUUCACAGACAACAAAGCUCAUGGUGUGUUCUGUCACUUGAAGCCAGCAACUCGUACAAAAUAAAGCUGGAUAAACACACUUAUAUAUAGGAUUGUUAGUCUUUUUAUUUUCCUUUCUCAGUAAAGUGAUAGGAGUUGCAUCUUUGAACAUGCACAGAUGCUUUUUAAGGGUUUUCCAGAUGAAUGUAAUGCGUUGAAGUCUCUAAGAAACGGUGCACUGGAAAUGGGUUCCUCAAGAUGGGCUACUGAGUGGGAAGAAAAUGCAAAGCCAUUAAUAUUGG